rnacentral:rRNA from 1 species
CCUACGGGAGGCAGCAGUAGGGAAUGUUCGUCAAUGGGCGCAAGCCUGAACGAGCGAUGCCGCGUGAGUGAAGAAGGCCUUCGGGUCGUAAAGCUCUGUUGCGGGGGAAAAAAGGCAGCAUCAGGAAAUGGGUGCUGACUGAUGGUGCCCCGCCAGAAAGUCACGGCUAACUACGUGCCAGCAGCCGCGGUAAUACGUAGGGAGCGAGCGUUAUCCGGAAUUAUUGGGCGUAAAGGGUGCGUAGAUGGCAUAGUAAGUCUUUUGUAAAAAUGCUGGGCUCAACCCAGUAGGGCAAAAGAUACUGCAAAGCUAGAGUAUGACAGAGGCAAGUGGAACUACAGGUGUAGCGGUAAAAUGCGUAAAUAUAUGUAAGAACACCAGUGGCGAAGGCGGCUUGCUGGGUCGAUACCGACAUUGAGGCACGAAAGCGUGGGGAGCAAACAGGAUUAGAUACCCUAGUAGUC